rnacentral:rRNA from 1 species
GCACGUCUGCCUGGGCGUCACGCAUCGCGUCGCCCCCCCACCCUCGCCCCGAAAGGGUCGCGGGUAGAGCGGGGGGGCGGAAGUUGGCUUCCCGUGCUCCGUCGCGGCCAGCCUAAAAAACGUUCCCUCGCCGCGGACGUCGCGACAAGUGGUGGUCGUCGAGAUUGAACGCGAGUCGCCGGCAAGC